AUAGGCUUUUGCUCAUGCACCAUGGUUGUCUGAGCACGCAGCAUGCUUGUCUGCUCAUACCCCAUGGUUCCUGAGCAGGAACCUUC
rfam:Cavia porcellus supercont2_197 genomic scaffold, whole genome shotgun sequence.